UACGUAGGGGCUAGCGUUGUCCGGAUUUAUUGGGCGUAAAGAGCGUGUAGGCGGCCAGGUAGGUCUGCUGUGAAAACUCGAGGCUCAACCUCGAGACGUCGGCGGAAACCAUCUGGCUAGAGUCCGGAAGAGGAGAGUGGAAUUCCUGGUGUAGCGGUGAAAUGCGCAGAUAUCAGGAAGAACACCCGUGGCGAAGGCGGCAUCCUGGACCGACACUGACGCUGAGGAGCGAAAGCCAGGGGAGCAAACGGG
rnacentral:rRNA from 1 species